CCCAGUGGGGAUCCUGUAGAGUGUUGAGGGGGUGGAGUCAGAAAGAAAAAAGGAGGGAAAGGAGAAGGAGAACACUGAGUUGUUUCUAAAUAAACCUUUAGUUAAAUCUACAUAAGAUUUCUUCGUCUAUGAGGGAAGCAAUUAUAAAGCAGGAACGUAAAGUACAGCUAGCUUAGAGGGAAGGAACCUUUCAGACUCUCUCAGCCUAACCUGCCUCCCUGGGUAGUUAUGCAGAAUAAAAUGAAGGAGGGACCAUGAAUGCCACCCUGAGUUCCUUGGAGAAACUGCCCCUUCUCAGAAGGAAUAGCUUUUUUUUCUGCACUUCCAUGUCAACAGACCCUUGGGAUUAGGAAUCUGAGCCAUUACUGCCAUGAAGAAAGGGCCUCCAAAAAUGUUCCAGGCCCUCAGCAAGCUAAGAUACCACCCAGGCAAAGCACAACUGAUUCAGCUCUUCCAGAACUGGUGCUAAUAGCAGAUGUAUCAUCCAUAAUAAAAAGUUACAUAUAUUUAUUGAAAGCAA